UGCUUACACAUGCAGUCGAGCGGUAAGGCCCUUCGGGGUACACGAGCGGCGAACGGGUGAGUAACACGUGGGUGAUCUGCCUCGCACUCUGGGAUAAGCCUGGGAAACUGGGUCUAAUACCGGAUAUGAGCAUGGUCUGCAUGGACUGUGUUGGAAAGGUUUACUGGUGCGAGAUGGGCCCGCGGCCUAUCAGCUUGUUGGUGGGGUAACGGCCUACCAAGGCGACGACGGGUAGCCGGCCUGAGAGGGCGACCGGCCACACUGGGACUGAGACACGGCCCAGACUCCUACGGGAGGCAGCAGUGGGGAAUAUUGCACAAUGGGCGAAAGCCUGAUGCAGCGACGCCGCGUGAGGGAUGACGGCCUUCGGGUUGUAAACCUCUUUCGACAGGGACGAAGCGCAAGUGACGGUACCUGUAGAAGAAGCACCGGCCAACUACGUGCCAGCAGCCGCGGUAAUACGUAGGGUGCGAGCGUUGUCCGGAAUUACUGGGCGUAAAGAGCUUGUAGGCGGUCUGUCGCGUCGAUUGUGAAAACUCACAGCUCAACUGUGAGCCUGCAGUCGAUACGGGCAGACUAGAGUACUUCAGGGGAGACUGGAAUUCCUGGUGUAGCGGUGAAAUGCGCAGAUAUCAGGAGGAACACCGGUGGCGAAGGCGGGUCUCUGGGAAGUAACUGACGCUGAGAAGCGAAAGCGUGGGUAGCGAACAGGAUUAGAUACCCUGGUAGUCCACGCCGUAAACGGUGGGUACUAGGUGUGGGUUUCCUUCCACGGGAUCCGUGCCGUAGCUAACGCAUUAAGUACCCCGCCUGGGGAGUACGGCCGCAAGGCUAAAACUCAAAGGAAUUGACGGGGGCCCGCACAAGCGGCGGAGCAUGUGGAUUAAUUCGAUGCAACGCGAAGAACCUUACCUGGGUUUGACAUACACCGGAAAGCCGUAGAGAUACGGCCCCCCUUGUGGUCGGUGUACAGGUGGUGCAUGGCUGUCGUCAGCUCGUGUCGUGAGAUGUUGGGUUAAGUCCCGCAACGAGCGCAACCCUUAUCUUAUGUUGCCAGCGCGUAAUGGCGGGGACUCGUGAGAGACUGCCGGGGUCAACUCGGAGGAAGGUGGGGACGACGUCAAGUCAUCAUGCCCCUUAUGUCCAGGGCUUCACACAUGCUACAAUGGCCGGUACAGAGGGCUGCGAUACCGUGAGGUGGAGCGAAUCCCUUAAAGCCGGUCUCAGUUCGGAUCGGGGUCUGCAACUCGACCCCGUGAAGUUGGAGUCGCUAGUAAUCGCAGAUCAGCAACGCUGCGGUGAAUACGUUCCCGGGCCUUGUACACACCGCCCGUCACGUCAUGAAAGUCGGUAACACCCGAAGCCGGUG
rnacentral:rRNA from 1 species